AAUAAUGGACGGGAUUGAUGAAUUGGAGGUUGAUGAAGUGGAGGUUGAUGAAGUAGAGGAAUUUCAAGAUUUACAGGAGGCUAAUUUUGAAGGAAAUAAUGAAAAUUUGGUGGAAGAGCCUACGGUUGGGAUGUGUUUUAAUAGUCCAGAUGAAAUGUUUGAAUAUUACAAAGCUUAUGGCCAACAAGAGGGAUUUCCAGU
rnacentral:lncRNA from 1 species